rnacentral:rRNA from 1 species
GACGAACCGUGCGAACGUUGUUCGGAAUCACUGGGCUUAAAGGGCGCGUAGGCGGGCGGUCAAGUCUGUGGUGAAAUCCUUCGGCUCAACCGGAGAAUAGCUGGAGAUACUGGCCGUCUCGAGGGGGGUAGGGGCAUGUGGAACUUCCGGUGGAGCGGUGAAAUGCGUAGAUAUAGGGAAGAACACCAAUCAGGCGAAGGCAGUUAACUAUUCUAUUCCUGACAUUGAGGCAUGAAAGCGUGGGGAGCAAAACGG